rnacentral:lncRNA from 1 species
CUUACAUUCUUUUGCUCUUCAAACAUUUCGGCUCAAUAUUGGGUUGUAUGUUUAACUAUUUAUUCAACAACUUCUUUUAUAAUAUGCUCAAGAUACUAUUUUACUAACAUUAUCAUUUCUCAGCUUCUGAAGAAACCGGAAAAGGGAGAGGAGCCAACCACAGAGAAACCAAAGGAAAGAGGAGAGGAAGUUGAUUUUGGAGAAGGACGACGGGAAACCUGCACGUUGGCGAGAGCCAGAUCCUCGGAGAGCUGGCUGGAGGAUCUCAGGGCGAAGUCGCAAAAUGACAUUGACAGAGAGCACAGGGACACGGAGAGAAGACCUCGAGAAAAAGAACCUGAAGCACAGAGAUGCCACACAGAUGACAGAAAGCACAGAGCCCACUGUGAGCCAGGCAGGCUUCCCCGGAGGACCGAAGCUGAGCUGAGAUGGGGGCGAGGGCCGGCCCCGGACGGCGGGAAGAAGGGCGGCCAGGACAGCGGCGCACCCGGGGAGGCCGAGGCGAGGACGGGAAGAGGGCAGAGGUGUGAGGACAGUCCGGCACCCCGCAAGGAGCAGCUGGGAAAUAAGGACCGGCCGGCCGUGCAGCCGCACCAGCCAGGAGCUGGCCCCCGAGCCCCCUCAGAGGGACGUGGCGGAAAGACGGAGGUGGAAGACUCAGCGGGGGCCGGUCCUGCGCAGGGGGAGGAGGCAGAGUGAGCUGUGUGCGCCUCCCUGGUGACGUGGGUGAGCGAUGAGAAAGGCGUUCCAGAUGUGUGUCAGUUACCCUGGAGCGUAUCCUGGAAGGUCAAUUUACUCCUUAGAAGGAAACUAAGACCCAGAAAUAUAGAGGGUGACAUAGAAAUUUCUAGAAAUUAUUCUUAAAAGAGAAGUCAUCUUUUUUAAAUUGAGCAGAAUUUUCAUAGAUUUUGUCAUUUCUCAUAUAAACUAGUAUUUAUGAUUUAGCUAAAACAGAAAGUGAUUUCCAUUGGAAAGUAGGAAAAUAUGGAAAUAAAACAUAGAAGAAAAUUAAUAUUAGUGUGAAAGCACUUCAGUGUGUUGUGAGAAUAGCAUCCAUUUUGGUUUUUGCAACAUAUUUGAGCAGACGAUCUGUCAGAAUCUGCAUUUCGUCGUGAGCCACAGUGUCAAGGAAAGAGCAGGUCUUGUUCGGUCACAGCCUUUGUGACUUGGCCACAUCUGCAGAGCCUGUUGCAGGCCAUUCCCCCGGCAGGAGCCUCUGCGCCGUGAGCCUCGCAGCCUGGCCACGAGGUUUCUCCGUCCCUUGGUGGACGUGCUCCUCAUUCAUAACUGUUGUGGUUUGAGGGUUUGCUGAAAUAACAGGAGUUGCCUUUAUUUGGGAAAGAAAUACCCAAGGUGCAGCAUCUAGAGCCUGUUUUUGAGCUGUAGGCACUUUAUUUUUAAAUAAUUUAAAGUAGCUUUCUGAAACUAUGCAUUGUGUAGUAUGGGGUAUUACACAUAUUCUUUGCAGUGAAAUUUUUAAAUGUUACUGUAUUUUUGGCACUGCGCUUUCAACUGUUUAUUAAAUAAAAAUUUUGUUGCUAUGAAUUUUAAGUCCUAAAGUUAUGGUACUUUUCCUAUAUAGGACUUCACAUAAAACAAUAAUUGCUUUUUAAAAUGUGGCUUCAAUUACCUGAAUAUUUUGCUGUUUACAUCCAUUCCUUGUUAGUGUGAAGUGUUUGUAUUUAUCAAAACCCUAAGAAUUCAUCACUUGUCAUUAAAAAGCCUGUGACUGCUGGAGGUAGAGAGUCAAUCUGUGGCACAGCUGUGCUGUCACUCUUGACUCCCUGGCCCCAAAUCUCGAGGGGAGUGGGAGAGAAGGCCUUGUCGGGGGUUGAGCAACGCCCGUGCCACCAGUGGGGCUAACUGAAAGCUGGAUGGAAAGUAUCUGGGGCUUUGCGGGCCACGUGGACCUUGCGACAACUCUCGCCUCCACCGUGGCAGUGAGGAGGCAUCUUUGACAACACAUGGGCAGUGGGUGAGACUUUUCCAGUAAGACUGUGUCCAGCAGAGACACGCAGGCCAGGCCUGCAGACUCCUGCCCAGGGAGCGGGCCAGGCCAGCUCUCUCAAGUUGUGGCCCCUGGGGUCCUCCCUGCACGUUUGCCUUCGAUCCUGAAGACUCGCAGACCCAGAACCCAGGGCUGAGUGUGUCUUCGGGCGGGGGCUUGUGGGCUCGUUUGUCUCCGGUGCCUCAUGUCCCCUGGAGUUCUGCCUGGAGAAAUGCCAGUUUAAAACAGUGAUUAUGCCUUUUGGUCUCAAGAUCCCUUUUCAUUCUUAAAAAUUAUUGACAACCCCAAAGAGCAUAUUUUUAAUCAGCCAGGUUACAUUUGUUGAUAUUUCCUGUAUUUGAAAUGAAAGUAAAUGCUUAAAAUACAGUAUACAAACACACUUUCCAUUUAGCUGUCAAAAGUUUGUUACCACACAUCAUGGGGCCUCUGGAAAUGCCACCGCGCCCGGCCCAUGUCCUAGUCUUAAAAGUAGUUUUGAGGCCAGGCACAGUGGCUCACUCCUAUAAUCCCAGCACUCUGGGAGGCUGAGGCAGGAGGAUCACUCAAGGUCAGGAGUUCAAAACCAGCCUGAGCAAGACCAAGACCCCGUCUCUACUAAAAAUAGAAAGAAAUUAAUUGAACAACUAAAUAUAAAUAGAAAAAUUAAGCCGGCCACACAUGGUGGCACAUGCCUGUAGUCCUAGCUACUCAGGAGGGAAAGCUAUUAAAUCAAAUUUAAUGAAUCACUUUUGCUGCAAAAACAAAAAUGAGAAAAGAACCUAAAAUGUCUAAUCUUAAUAUUGAAUCCUAGAACUCGGAAUUACUUCAGAAAUUAAAGAAUGCAGGAUCCUAAAUUUGGCAUGAAAGGGAAGAUAGAACAAAAACAGUAGAAAACAGACUGGAAAUGCCUGCACUGAGUUUGAGAAGAUGCUGUUUGCUCUCACAGGUGAACAUGAUGAUUAAGUGCCCUCUGCUCACACAGGUGAGCACCUAGGUAAACCUGGUGGACAAGAGCCGUCUGCUCAUCCAGGUGAACCUGCUCAGAUGGAGUGGAGCAGGAUCAUAGGGUAAAGAUCUGUUUGUUCUAUGUUAGCAGGGCCUACCUGGCAUUCUGGCAUACAGAGAAUCUGAAAGACAGACUCUCCUCCUUGUGCAGCACCACCUCAGUGCCAGGCACUUAGGGCCUAAUGUGUCUCUUCAUUUCAACAAAAGAGAGAAAGAAAUUGAAGAGCAGGAAGGAGGAUUCUGGGAAGAUGGCAAAGUAGAAAUCUGUCUGACGUAAAUAUUUUAGAACUCUGGAGUCUCCCUGUUGCCUUUAAAAUACCGAAGGUGCCAACUUCCCCUUGGUAAAACAGCCACAGCUUUUCUGGGGUUCUGUUUUUUCCUGGCAUGUCCUCAGAAUCUUGGCUUAGUUAGUAAACUUUCAUUGAUUGAGAUUUUUGCCUCAGUCAUUUAUUUGGGUCGCAAUGAGUACAGAGUUUCAGUUUUACAAGAUAAAAAGUUACGGAAAUGGGUGCUGGUGAUUGUUACACAUCACUGAACUGUACACUUAAAAACGGUUAAGAUGGCAAACUUUAUGGUAUGUAUAUUUUACAACAAAUAAAUUGAAAAACUUUUUAUUAACAUGAGAAGCAAAACUUUAGAGUAUGCAGAUGUAGAAAGUUGUGUAAGUAAACCAGUUUCACAAUCUUUCAAAGUAUACAGACGGAUAACAUCAAAAUUAGUCGUGUACGCGUUUUAAUUAGAAUUGUGGUAACAUUCAUAGGAACUGUUAAUAAAAACAAAAAACGAAGGAGAUAACUUCUGAGACUGGGACUUGUAGUGGAGGACGGGUGAUUAGAAAUAUUUAUGUCACCGAAUACCAGUAUUUGUCUCAUACUUUCGUCGUGGGCACUAAUGCCAGUGUUAACCCUCAGAAUGUAUGGGGCAGAUUCCCACCAUUUUUAUUUUUCUAAUAAAUUCAUUCAUAUAACAACAAAGACAAAAAAGCAAGAAAACGAAGACAGAUGAACCGGGAAGCCGCAGGCCCGAACGAGCACCGCCCACCCCGCGCCCGCCAGCAAGCACUUCGGGACCCUUCCGGUGCUCGCUGCGCAGGCGCGCAGUGGCGGCGGAGGCGGGGCGGGCGCACA